CAUAGGUAGGAGCCUCCUAUUGGACAAUUACCGCACGAGCAAUUAUCUUUCAGCUGGUAACUGUUGUGAGCUGGGAGGUGAGCACUCUACAUACACCAUUACGUCACCUGUUUUUUUUGGGAGCUUCUCUGAUUUCAGGAGAGAGAGCAGCAGCUGUGGUCAAUCAGCUCAUCAGCAGGUGGCCUUCAUAAGGAGGACGGAGGACACUGCUAAACUGCCGGAUGAUUACGCCUCACUGGCUCAGUCAUCCCUCUCGAUACACCGGAUCUCUGCGUGACACUUUGGAUAUACAACUGCCCGACCAUACAGCCUCUGGAUUCACCUCUCGACUCCCCGUCCUCCUAACGGCUCGACUUGCUCCUGGCAAACCUGCUCUCUCUCUCACAUCACCUCCAGUUGGAACCCCGUCGAUCUGCUUCAACCCUGGAUAUCCGCUCGCUCUCCCAGCUCACCCCUCCCCGGACAAACUUCACCACACUUGACCCACGCUGCUCCCGUCACUCAUUCGCUGUUUACCAGUUACUCCUGGAAUCAUCUUUUCUAAAUAAAUCAUUAUUAUUCCUACCACCAGCUUCCGUGUACUGAUUCUGCAUGUCCUGGGUUAAACUUUUACCACAGAACAUGACAGUAACAAGUUAUUUAACUCAAACUGGUGCAAUGAGUUGCUUCUCAUUUCUGAAACAACCAUGUGGAAAGUCACAUCUGGUGGUUGUGGAAAAGACAUUAGUCUGUUAGAGAAAGGUCAGAUCAUUGGUAUGCAUCAAGCAGAGAAAACAUCUAAGGAGAUUGCAGAAACGAAUAAAAUUGGGUUAAGAACUGUCCAACGCAUUAUUAAAAACUGGUCUGAUGAGUCCAGAUGGACACUGUUCCAGAGUGAUAGUGCAUCAGGGUAAGAAGAGAGGCAGAUGAAGUGAUGCACCCAUCAUGCCUAGUGCCUACUGUGCAAGCCUGUGGUGGCAGUGCUAUGAUCUGGGGUUGCUACAGUUGGUCAGGUCUAGGUUCAGCAACAGGAUUUGCUACAUGAAUGAGGUCAGCUGACUACCUGUCAUGGUCUGUGCUGAGCUAACACCUGUUUGAGUUUCUCUGUGUGCAGGUGGGUGUGUCCGGAGAGCAGCUGUUGUUGAUCUCCUCAUCAGUGGUCAGGGGAUUUAAGGAGUGUUGGGACAACACAUCAGCGCUGGAUGAUUACUCAGUAUUGGGUACCUUCCAUUCAUCUGCCAACUUCCACCACCAAGCAAGAAACUCACCGGAUCAUCCUGCUCACCAGCCCGUCACUCGCCCCUGACCGCCUGCUCUCCAACCCCCACCUGCCAUCAGUACAACCUGGACUCCGGUGCUCAGCUCCCAGCCAUUUCCUCUGCCUCUCGCCCGACCAACUCAGCCAGCCCUGACGUGCCCUCCUCUCAAAACUCUCUCUAACUAACUGGAAACCAACUUCAUCAGAACCUCCCGAAUCCCAUUCAACAUCUGCAUCACUCAUCCAACUUUAAUAAAUAAUUUUACUCACCUUC